GGGUGAGUAACACGUGGGCAACCUGCCUGUAAGACUGGGAUAACUUCGGGAAACCGAGGCUAAUACCGGAUAAUUCUUUCCCUCUCAUGAGGGAGAGCUGAAAGACGGCGUAAGCUGUCACUUACAGAUGGGCCCGCGGCGCAUUAGCUAGUUGGUGAGGUAACGGCUCACCAAGGCGACGAUGCGUAGCCGACCUGAGAGGGUGAUCGGCCACACUGGGACUGAGACACGGCCCAGACUCCUACGGGAGGCAGCAGUAGGGAAUCUUCCGCAAUGGACGAAAGUCUGACGGAGCAACGCCGCGUGAGUGAUGAAGGCCUUCGGGUCGUAAAACUCUGUUGUUAGGGAAGAACAAGUAUCGGAGUAACUGCCGGUACCUUGACGGUACCUAACCAGAAAGCCACGGCUAACUACGUGCCAGCAGCCGCGGUAAUACGUAGGUGGCAAGCGUUGUCCGGAAUUAUUGGGCGUAAAGCGCGCGCAGGCGGUCCUUUAAGUCUGAUGUGAAAGCCCACGGCUCAACCGUGGAGGGUCAUUGGAAACUGGGGGACUUGAGUGCAGAAGAGGAAAGCGGAAUUCCACGUGUAGCGGUGAAAUGCGUAGAGAUGUGGAGGAACACCAGUGGCGAAGGCGGCUUUCUGGUCUGUAACUGACGCUGAGGCGCGAAAGCGUGGGGAGCA
rnacentral:rRNA from 1 species